CAGAGUGUAGCUAAGACAGAAGAGCACCUCCCUUACACCGAGAAGACAUCCGUGCAAAUCGGGUCACCCUGA
rnacentral:tRNA from 15 species